GUAAGCUCACAUGGAUUGUGUUCAUUCUUUUGGAACUCACUGUCUUAAGAAUUCCUCCCUAUGCUCUCUUUAGCCACUAAAUCAUUCUUUACUGAUUGAUUUGUUGAUUGGUUGGUUGAUUUGAGACAGGGUCUUACUAUGUGGCACAGACUAGCCUGAAACUUUCUGUGUAGCCCAGGCCAGACUGGAACUCACAAACCUCCUGCCGCAGACUCUUUAGUUCUGGGAUUACAGUUGUUAUCCAUAAUGCUUGUCUCCCAUUUUGUACCUUGGAUCUAAAACUAGAUUUCAGUGAGGUCCAACACACACACCGUGUUUUGUUUUGUUAGUUUUGUUUUGUUUUGUUCUGUUUUCUCUGUGAAACCAUGGGUGUCUGUGUGUGUUUGGGUCUUGCACUGGGAGAGUACUAAGUUAAAGCACUGGCCCCCCAAGUACUAAGUUAAAGCACUGGGCCAUCACCAUCUGACGACAUUUUCUUCCUACCAUCACUUUGCAGAGAUAUUUUCUCCAAUUGGUCUUUCCUAGCAUUUAUGUCAGAACAGGAACAGAAGAUCCCUCAAGAUUUGAAUUAAGAAUUCUAAUCUCCUCUAGGCAGAUACUGAAAUGUAAAUUUUGUAUCAUGAAGCUGAAUGAGGAUCCUUUGUUUUAUCCAUUCUUGUUGUAUUCAAUAUUUUCCUUAAGUGAGUACAUAUCAGAGAGUAUAUAAACGAGUAGACAGGGACUUUUAGGUGCUGUCAGGCAUGUAAGCUGGAGAUGACAGGGCUGGGUGGUGGGCUCUUUGAGGGAGCCCAAGGAAAGCAAAAGAUUUAUAGGAAGGUAAUUCCUGAGGCUAUAAGGAGUGCUGCGGAACUGUGGUAUUGCCAGUGUUUCCACAGCUCCACACCAGGCCCCUUCACUCACUACACUCGUGUCUGCCUUAUAGGUUCUUCAAUUUACUGUACUUGAGACGAUCUUUCAGUCAUCUCCAGUGUAAGUCCCCUGUGCAUCCUCUGUGUCACAUGGCUUCCCUCCUUGGUAUAAAGCCAUCUAGUUUCCUUCACUGGGUUAUAUAUCUUUUGGUCAAAAUCCAUGUCCUUCAGGCUGCCAUCCAUAGCCUCACCUGUGUCUCUGUCAAUCACAGAAUACAUCCAUAGACUGUGUCUUGAACAGUGUGAGCCCGUCAUGAGUGCCUCAUAGAGUCAGCUCUUGUUAAGUUCCAGUCAUACCUUCCCUUCACAGUAUUAAACCUUCAAGAUUGAACUACAAUCAGUCUUGUCUUACAGAUUAGAAAACUGGUUCACAAAUAGGAAGGAGCAUCUGAGGUCUCAACCUCAGGAGUCCAUGCUUUGAAGUCUAAGUGCUAAAUGAAAUAUAAUAUAAAUCGAACUAAUUGCUUCUUAAAAUAGACAGGAAAUAUACCUUCUAGUUGAAAAAAAAAAACAUCAUUUUAGUUCAUAAUUUUUGUUCCUGUGUUGCUAAGCUAUCUUUUAAAAAUAUUUAGUUUAAAUGCAUUAUUUGUAUAUGUUAAAGAGAAAGACAGGCUAGUGAUGGGCAGAGAGGUAGAGGUGGGGCAGGAAGAGGGACAGGGACAGGGGAAGAACAGGCAUGGGGGUGUGCAGGGAUACAUGCAUGGAGACCAGAGGAGGGUAGUGAACCUCCUUCCCUAUCACUCUGUCCUUUGAGGCAGAGUCUCCAUUGGACCUGCAGUUCACAUUGAGUGCUCUGCCUGGCAGCCAGAAAGCCCUAGUGAUCCUGCCUCCAUUUCCCUCAGAGCUGCAGAAGACUUUCUACCUGUUAUGGAGGGCCUUGCUUCUGACCUCUGCUUCUCCUAUUUGUAGGAGUAUGCUUAACUGCUGACUCACCUCUUCAGCCCCAAAGUUUAUUUCUUUAGUCACUUAAUUUAAUAGAAAAUAUUGGAGAAAACACAACAUAGAAAAAAAGAGAAGUUGGGUUAGGUUGCACAUACCAAUUAUCUCAAAACUUGAUAAGCCAAGGCAUGAGGACUGAUUGUAAAAGUUGUUGUUUUAAUUUUUGGGUUUUUGCUUUUGUUUUUGUUUUUUGUUUUUUGUUUUUUUUCUAAACGUGUUGCAUGUAACACCCUUCUGCCUUCACGGGAGCUUUUUUGGUGCUCCUGGCUGGGCUCCAAGAUCAGCCGCCCCAGUCUCAGCUCCACUGAUGGCCAAUUUUUUUUCCCUCGGAGCUGUGAUUGAUUCCCACCCCUCAUGGCUUAGCUUCACCAAACCACCAGCCUUUCCUGAGAAUUCUGGGAGCUAUUGUUCACACCCCACUGGCUAACUGCUCUGGCUGCCUGCUCUCUCCUUCUGCCCACCCUAGUGCCUCAGAUGGAAAACACUAGUUUUAUUAUUUUAAAACUAGCCAGAUAACUCAAAGGCUGGGCAAAGAAUUUCCUGUCCUAAUUUAAUCAACUAACUCCCUCCAUCUUCCUUGGCCCCCCCACUCAUGGCGGAAGCUACAAAUUCUAGGGGCCCCAAGACCUACAUGUCUGCAGCUUCUUCCUUGCUCCAGGUUUUAACCUGGUCCAAAAACCUUUUCUCCUGCAUCCCUUUUCUUCCUCCUGGAAAAUGGAAGUCCCACCCUUUUCCUUUUACCCAGCAAUUGGCUUCUGCCUCCCUUAUUGACACAAUCCAGAACCAAUUAGGGAAUCAACACCUCCCCCUACAUCUCACCUUUUC
rnacentral:lncRNA from 1 species